rnacentral:miRNA from 1 species
UAUAUAUGUAUGUGUAUGUGUGUGUGUGUGUGUGUAUAUAUAUACACACACACACACACAUACAUACAUAUACAUA